UCAAUCUCGUGCGGCUAAAAACCGCUUGUCCCUCUAAGAAGAUUUUACCACCUGAAGCAGUAAAGAUUCAGGCGUCUAGUUAGCAGGUGAGAGUCUCGUUCGUUAU
rnacentral:rRNA from 1 species